GCAACCUACACCACAGCUCACAGCAACGCCGGAUCCUUAACCCACUGAGCAAGGGCAGGGACCAAACCCGCAACCUCAUGGUUCCUAGUCGGAUUCGUUAACCACUGCGCCACGACGGGAACUCCCCAGGUAUGCAGUUUAGGGUCUUGGGCAAGCUAACCACUCUGACCCUCAGUCUCUUCAUCGGCAAACUUGGAAUAAUUCCCACCUCCUGAAGGACCUUGAAGAUCAUCUGAGAUGAGGCAUAUUUCCAAGCCCCCAGGACAGCCUGGCCAUGACUGACCUUUAUCCCAAACAUAGCCUUGGGCAACCCCCCACCCCCAGAUCCCCUUCCCCCCCAACUCCUCAGAUCUGCUUCUUCCUGUCAGCAGUUUCCUGGCCUCUUCACUUCAGGGAGAGGGUGCGGGAAGGCGCACCCCCAAGCUUGUCUCCCCAGAAGGUGGCCUGGUUCAGAACACAGAGAGGCUGGGAGCCCUUAAUCUGGGGAUCCCCACAGCAGAGGCAGCAGAGGACCUGAGCUCCUGUUUCACCCUUCACAACCAGAGAGAGGCCACAGGCCUUUCUCCACCUGGCACCUCUGAGUUAGAAGGGAUCUUGGCAGAGCCCUGAUCUGGUCUGUUCCCGCCUGGUUGCCCGAGGUGCCUUUGGCGAGGGAGCCGAGCCGACCCCUUUGGCGGAAUCCAUGGGAUGCACCUGCCCUCUAGUGGUGAGAGAGGGAAAGACACGGACAGCCUGGGCUCAGCCUGCUUGUCUGCGGCCAGACCUCAGUUACUGCGGGUGACCGUGUGCGGUCACCUGGACACUCGGCAGCCCCACCGCAGCCCAAACUAACUGACACAUGGAGGUCAUUCCCUGGAUACACUCCAGGCCCCAGAUGUGCGGUUUCAUUCAUCUAUUCAUUUGUUGAUUCAGCAAGUAUCCACCGAGUGUCUGCAACGUGUGUGUGAUGGGGUGGGUUCUAGGCAGCAGGGUCUCAACAGCGAUCAACUGGCAAGUCCACCCACUCACAGGGUUUCCAUUCUAAUGAGUGUGGUGUUUGUCGGGCAUGGGUGGGGGUCUUCUCAACCUCCUCUGUCUUAGAAUCAAGACAUCCGAGGACACCAGCCAGGUGGGGGUGUUCACCAAAGCAUCCUCUUCCUGGUGUCUCAGUACGUACCUGGACCUCUUUUAUGGUGGCUUUUAAUAAUGUGCAAUUCAGAAGUUUUAGAAUAUUCAGAGCUAUCUGUGGUGUAGGUCACAGACGCGGCUCAGAUCCCGCGUUGCUGUGGCUCUGGUGUAGGCAGGGGGCUACAGGUCCGAUUUGACCCCUAGCCUGGGAACCUCCAUAUGCUGCGGGAGCGGCCCUAGAAAAAGGCAAAAAGACAAAAAAAAAAAAAAGUGACAAAAUCAGGGAUUGAGGAAGAUUACUGGGGAGGCCUGCAAAGAUGAGAUGCGCAGGGAGGCAGAAAUGGGGUAUGAUGGACUCUGGCGCUUCCUUCUGCUAAUGGAAGAGAAAUGUCAAGGUCACCCAGGACAUCCUUAUGCGAGGGCUAAACCUGACCUCUGUCUGCAGCGCUGACCAUGAAGCCAUAAAACCACAGGCUGAAAAGAGCUCUUGUUCCGGGAGGUGGGAGAGAGCCCCAGCGUGGUUUCAACAUCGUCUCCUAGUUCUCCCUGAAGCUCUGUUGAGAAGCACAUACCGCCCUCCUUCCUGGAAUGUGCGUGACUGGUCGCUGCCCUGGCACAGCCAUCUGCCAAAUCCUGUUGUUCAGGAAGUGAAUGAUGCCCUUGUCCUCGUUGGUAAUGGCCCGUGUUGUACAAAGGCCCUUUGCUGCAUGUGGGGGGCGGGCAGGGGUGCCCUGUCCAGGCACCUGUGAGCCACACUGACAAUGAGCUCUCUCAGCCCAGCCAGGGCGGGAGCCCUGGGGUGCAGCCUGUCCCUGCUCAUCCAGUGCUGCCUCCAAGCAGGAGCAUCCAGGGACAAAGCCACAAAGAGGCCAGGGAGCAGAGGAGCAGGGGCUGUGUCCUCUGCAGGCAGGGGGGGCGGGCAGAGGGGCUGUGCUGACACAUCAGGCUUCCUUAGAUUUGGGCAGGGCUCGCCAGCUGUCGGACAGGCACCUCCAUCCACACAGGGGCAUCCUCCCCGCUCCCGACCCCCCUCCCUCCGCACCACCACACUUUCAUCCCCGCCCUCCCCGUUCCUGGUGGUGGCUGUCCAGUUGAGCCCUGCUUUCCUCUGAUCCCCUCGUCCUUGCACUUGAGUUUCUCAAGGAGAGGAAGGGAGAGUGAGAGAAAGGAAAGCAAACAGAAACGGGUGUAGUUGGGGCCAGGAGGGCUGAUGAAGGCAAAUACAGACAAAAAUGUGGAAAUUUCCUGGGGGUAUGUUGUCAUCAGCACACAUGUGUGGGCAGACUGCCUGGGAUUGAGUCCUGGCCUUGCUAUUUAGGAGCUGUGUGAUCCAGGAUAAGUUGCUUAACCUCUCUGUGCCUCAGUUUCCUCAGUAAAAACGGUGGUUGAUAGUACGUAGCUCCUGGGUUGUGAGGGUGACAUUGUGAGGGAGUGUAUUUGGUUUUAGAACAGAGGGUGGCUCACACCAAUGACCUAACAUGGUAGCUGUUUUGUGCCAGUGUUUGUGUACUAUUCUCACGAUGGUACCCACACAAGUCCCAGCUGUCACCUACACAAGCCCCGGCUCUCUGCCCUGAGCAGGCAUCCUGCUCACCUCACAGCCCCAGAGGCUGCUUUGUUCCCUGUUGGGGGACAGCCAGGACCCUGGGAGGCUGGGGGUAAUAACUGGGUGAGGGGUUUAUACCCUCUGUUGUUUUGCUUGGGGCAGAAGGAAUUGAUGACAUCCAGUCAUGA
rnacentral:lncRNA from 1 species